rnacentral:rRNA from 1 species
UACGGAGGGGGCUAGCGUUGUUCGGAAUUACUGGGCGUAAAGGGUGCGUAGGCGGUUCGUUAAGUCUGUUGUGAAAUCCCCGGGCUCAACCUGGGAAUGGCAAUGGAUACUGGCUAGCUAGAGUGUGUCAGAGGAUGGUGGAAUUCCCGGUGUAGCGGUGAAAUGCGUAGAGAUCGGGAGGAACAUCAGUGGCGAAGGCGGCCAUCUGGGACAACACUGACGCUGAAGCACGAAAGCGUGGGGAGCAAACAGG